GCACGCAAUCAAGGCGAUCCUAGGCUCGCACGACGGCUGUCCACCGUUUCCCUCCGCCCACCGCGCCGACGCCCGGGCGCCCACACCACCCUUUGCCCGACCACCCUCUGCGCAGCCGGGGCCCAAGCGGCGGGACGUAGGCUCUUGGACCCAGAACCGGUUCCCGCUUCUCUCGCUAGAGGGCAGACGGGGCCCGCUCAAAGCCCACGGACCAAAGGGCACGCGCAGCCGGUAGAGAUCCCGCAAUCCGAGCCGCACUCCGGGACAGGGCUCCGCGACCAACGCGGGGGCCGAGAGCAGAGCCCGGGAGCGCGACGCACGGCAGACCCGGAGGACCUGGGAAGGGCGGCCAGCAGUCUCGGGGUGCGCACAGCGCACGGGCACCAGGUGGAGGCGGCGCCGGCACGGCAGCUCUGGGACCCGGUUGGGCGACAAGAGAGCUGCGCGGGGACACACGGGACGGGGCUAGGUUCCCGCCUGGGAGCAGCAGAGCGGCUGGCACUCACCUGGGCUCGGGUCGCCUUCGGCGGGUGCGGGCUUCCCGCGGGAUCCCCGGUCCUUCUUCUUGCCCUUUCCCUUGCCUCUGCCUUCUUUGCGCUCAGACAUCUCGCCGAAGGUGAGCGCUCUACGCGGACCCGGCUGGGCGACGGUGACGCGCGACAAGUUUGGUCCAAGGGCUUGCAGAAAAGUUUGUCCCCGGAGGGAAAAGCCAGCGGCCGGGCUGCGCGGGGGCGUCGCCUGUCGCCUGCAGGGAGCGGCGUGGACUCGAUCACCUGGAGCGUCCGCUACGUCUGGAGGUGUCUCGGGGCUACUCUUGUGUCCCGGGUCCUGCCGCUGCCGGCUCUGGAGUGGCCUCGCUCCGGCGGCCUGUCUCGCUCCCUUACAGCCCGAAGAGGGAAAGGUGCUCACAGUCCGGACUAUGCUCGCAUCUCCCGGCAGCUGCCGCCGCUGCGCUGAGCUCCGCUCCUGCUGCCCGCGCGGCCCGGAGUUCCCACAAGUUUUGGGGAAGUCCUAGCCGGCUCUUUUUCAAUUGCCCGCAGGUUGGACGCAGGCGCCUCCUUCGCACCCUCCCCUCGCCUCGCCCCCUCCCUCUUUCCCCACCACACCCCCACCCCGAGGCGCAGCCGCGCCACCGGGAGGAGCCUGAGCUGGGCGAUCAAGGCUCAGCCCCUUUCUUCUGGCAGCCCGGCCAGCCUAGGGGCGGCGGAGCCCAACGGCUGCCGGGAACUCCCGACAGGGGUCGCUGGAAGCUGCGCUGACAACGUCGCAGCCGCCGCCGGACCGAACACAGCAGUCUGGAGAGGCCAGGAAGGGACCCUGGUGCUCGCAGUCCCUGGCAGGGUGCUGAGCUGAUCCAAACCUUGAAAAGUGUGUGUGGGGGGGAAGGUGAGAUGGAGAAAAGUUUGCAACCGUAGCACCUGCCCCACAAUGAAAGCUCUGGAGACCUGGAGCCCCCGGGAGGGGGAAAGGAACAGUUGCUAUUUCCCAGAAGAGUUCAGAGUUCAUUUCUCUCUCGCUUUAGGGAAGUUUCUCUCUGUCACUAAGGGCGAAGGUGCAGUCUGGAGUGGAAGGGAGUUUGAGGUACCCAGGAAGGGUUCUGGGAAUUUCAAGCAUGAACAGCUUGCACUUCGUACAUCUGCCACUUGAGCAUGUGUCUGCCUUCCCGUGCUAACUAGCAUAACUAUUGGAUUUUCCCAUCUCCAUUAAAAACAAAAACCAAAAAACUCUAGCUUCUUCCCAAGCACACGUAUCUUUUAUUACAGCUUAAGUUUCAGAAGAACUGAGGAGCUGUAGUUCACCAUAGACAGUAACAUGUCUAAGGUGUGUGUGGGUACAAGUCAGAUGCACGAGGUGGCUGUGGGUAUGCGUGUGUGGGGUGAGUUGGGGCCGUAGAACUAUAGUGUAGUACAGACCCUUAGUUUAUUAAUACCAGCCCCCUCUCCACACCCAUUAGACUUUCUGAGAAUUGCUAGUGAAUCCUAGUUUUCCUGUAUCCAGGUGAAGAACUCUUAGGAACAGUCACAGGUCAGAGUAAUCCGCACCAAGGAGUGAUUCACAAUGGUCUCCAAGUAGAGACAGAUGCUGUCAUCAACACACAUAGUUGUGGCCAACUUAGCCUGCUCUUUUUUUACUGGUGGUAUAGAGUUGUGGUCGAGAAACGGCUCACACCAAGGAUCAAUAUUCUACAGUUAUCCCACCUUCAGAGUGAUUUGUCUCCUCCCUUUUCACUUCCUGGAGUUAAUGCUAACAGACCUGCAGCUGUCCUCGGCAGCUUUUUCUGUGGUCUCUGGCUGCCACGAUUUAAAUAAAGGUGAAAUACAGAGUACACCUGUCAUACAUGGGUGGGAAGGGAAAACGGAGCAAGAUGUUCAUUCUAAAUCGUCUUAAAAAUCAUUUCAUUCCUACUUUAAUUUUCUCUGUAAGAGAGGUGCAAUUGUUAAGAUAGCUCAACAGUACCCGCAUCAUUCUUUAUUCUUAAACCUUUAGUGUCCAGACACCUUGAUAGCUUUCCAGCAAAUACCACAUACCAAUCUCCCUGUGCCAAACCAACAGCAGAACCCCAGGAAAGAUUAUGACUCUGUGAAAAGCACUGCAGCCCUGCCGUUCAGAGUGAAGGGAAAGUGGCCCCAGUGCCGGCUGGAAUAACUCCACUUUCCCAGGAGGGGCCACUGCUCAGCCAGGGAGGAGCAGAGGAGCAGCGGCAGCAAGCUGCUGAAAGCAGAAACCCUUUCAUUUCAGAGUGUAUUUAUCCGGAGGAUGUGAGGCAGUUAGAGAGCUCAAGAUUUACUAACCACAUGUUGUCAAACACCGGCAUAUUAGAAUCAAAGGGCUGAAAACAAGCUUGCAUCUUGGAACUUAAAAAAAAUAAAUGUAAGAUCUUCCCAAAUACUUGGGUAAUCAGAACCCAAGGCUACAGGAACACCAUCUUCUACCUCUUGUUCCAGAGUCUAGAUAUCUUUACUUCCCAGAACACCUUCUUCGUGGUGGGAGUGUCUCCAGGAGGAUAAAAGGAGUCUACACUUCCUGAAAAUUUCUACUUGAAUAAAACCACUGUGAUAGGUGACAAACCUCCAAACUAUUUUUCCAAGAAAAAUGAUGCUACAGUAACUUCAGAAUAAAACACCAGCAGUGUUCCCAUGGAAACUGUGGGAAUGGGAAUGGAUGGAUGUAAUUUGGAUAUAAGCAGUAACUAGCAGUACGUGAUUUUUUUUUUUUUUUUAACUUGGUUAGAUGACGAUGGAAGAGGAGAAGUGGGGAGACGAGUUGUGGUAGUAGGUGUUGACAGAACUUUCAAGACACAUGACAGAGUGUCAUUUAAUGGCAAGGCUGCUUCCUAGAACUUUGUCCUGAUUCUGGAAUUUUAUUUUAUUGUCAAUUAAAGCUGAAAUAGCAGGAACUUCUCCACAAAGCCAUUUAUCCUUUAUGUUAUUUUGUGUUGAUUUCUUGAGUAUGUUUUACUACAUGAUUUACAAGCAACUGAAAGAUUAACCAAAAAGUCAAUUUCUUCGAUAGUUAAAAUAUUUAUGAGAUUUGUCAAGACUUCAAAAUUGUCCUUAAAUUAUUCACUUCCGUGGUCAGUAAGUGGCAAAUGAAAUGGUUUUGCGUUUUUUGAAAGUACCUUGGAACUGACUUAAGGACUGAAAAAAAGCAUUCCUUUUAAAAAUUAUAAAAGCAGGUGUGGCAUCUUGUAAGCUCCGAACUUCAGCGGAUGAGGCAAAAGUACCACCAGGGGCAUCAAGGCCAGCCUGAACUUCAGAGGGAGACUCUGUUUCUGCUUAAGAAGGAAACCACGAAGAACACAGACCCAAAGUGUUACAAACGUAGCUAGUUAAGUAGAAUAUAUUAAAUGUUAGCAUCAGUCAAAACGUUUCAAAGUGAGAUAACUUCGUGAAUUUAAUAAGCUUGUUGUUAUGUUUUGUUCAGCUCCUAGAACAGGUAUCAUAUAUGGCUGGCCAGCUACCAACUCACACACCAAAGUGUCAACAUACAUCAACCGGCAGAAGAAGAGGACAUUAUGGAAUCACCCUGAGAAAUGAAGGUGAGAAGGUGGCUUGCACAGAAUGACAAAAUGUCAAGGUGUUUUCUUUAAAUCGCCUCUGUGAGUUUCACCUGUAUGCUACGCUUACUGGCUCUGUUUGUUGUCUUGGUCUAAAUCUACAAACACAGCCUCCUGAGCAGGCUUAAUGACCUCUGCUUGCUCCAAGCCUGGGUUGUACAGCUUUUCUUUCCACCGGGCUUAUUUCUCACUCCACACAACAGUGGUCUGCCUCCAUCCAAUCACUGAGUCAAGGGACUCUCCCUGGCUGCCUUGAAACCACCUUGGAGUUCAGCUGUAAGUCCUCUGUACAUUCUGCUCUUACCCACUGUCCUUAUGCAUGCAGCAGAUAAAAAAUGGACUUCUCUGUGCAUUCUUAUAGCUCAGACUCUGUGUGCACUUAACAAAUAUCCAAGAGAGAUAUCACGUGCCUUGAUGGCUUUUAAACAUCAGCCCACAAGAUCCUCUCCAAGGUUAACAUUUUUUUCCUUUGAAAUACACUUUCCCAUGCCUGGGAAAAGAGCCUCCCUAUUAAAUUUAUAAUGACGCU
ensembl:lincRNA